AUCUAUCGUUCGUGCGCUGCGGUUCCCGUGCGCCGUCCACUUCCGUCUGACGACCGCUCGCUACGUUCUUUCAGCC
rnacentral:sRNA from 1 species